rnacentral:rRNA from 1 species
CACGUAGGGCGCGAGCGUUGUCCGGAAUUAUUGGGCGUAAAGAGCUCGUAGGCGGCCUGUUGCGUCCGCUGUGAAAGCCCCGGGGCUUAACCCCGGGUCUGCAGUGGAUACGGGCAGGCUAGAGGUAGGUAGGGGAGAAUGGAAUUCCCGGUGUAGCGGUGAAAUGCGCAGAUAUCGGGAGGAACACCGGUGGCGAAGGCGGUUCUCUGGGCCUUACCUGACGCUGAGGAGCGAAAGCGUGGGGGAGCGAACAGG